rnacentral:misc_RNA from 1 species
CUGAAAUAGAAGACCCAUUCUUUUGGGCUUCAACCUUUCACAUUCAAACACAUUGUGCACUGUCUAGACGAACGUUACCAUCCCCUGGGUGUGUGGCUAUUAGUCUCCCUUUUCUAAAAACACAAGUCAAUGCAUGUGCAAACAUAUAUAAAUA